rnacentral:rRNA from 1 species
UGGGGAAUAUUGCGCAAUGGGCGAAAGCCUGACGCAGCGACGCCGCGUGAGGGAUGACGGCCUUCGGGUUGUAAACCUCUUUCGGUACCGACGAAGCGAGAGUGACGGUAGGUGCAGAAGAAGCGCCGGCUAACUACGUGCCAGCAGCCGCGGUAAGACGUAGGGCGCAAGCGUUGUCCGGAUUUAUUGGGCGUAAAGGGCUCGUAGGCGGCUUGUCACGUCUGUCGUGAAAGAUCUAGGCUUAACCUGGAUUCUGCGGUGGAUACGGGCAGGCUUGAGGCAAGUAGGGGAGAUCGGAAUUCCAUGUGUAGCGGUGAAAUGCGCAGAUAUGUGGAGGAACACCGGUGGCGAAGGCGGAUCUCUGGGCUUGUACUGACGCUGAGGAGCGAAAGCGUGGGGAGCGAACAGG